rnacentral:rRNA from 1 species
AUGACCGGGACAACCCGAGGAAACUCGGGCUAAUACCGGAUGUGCUCGCGAGCCACAAGGCUCGCGCGGAAAGGAAGCUUCGGCCUCCGCAUCGGGAUGGGCCCGCGGCCCAUUAGCUUGUUGGUGGGGUAACGGCCCACCAAGGCUGCGAUGGGUAGCUGGUCUGAGAGGACGAUCAGCCACACUGGGACUGAGACACGGCCCAG